rfam:Felis catus isolate Cinnamon breed Abyssinian chromosome A3, whole genome shotgun sequence.
GCCUGGGUGGCUCAGUCGGUUGAGUACCUGACUUCAGCUCAGGUCAUGAUUUCACGGUUUGUGAGUUUGAGCCCCACCUUGGGCU